rnacentral:rRNA from 1 species
AUACGUAGGUGGCAAGCGUUGUCCGGAUUUACUGGGUGUAAAGGGCGUGUAGGCGGAGCAGCAAGUCAGAAGUGAAAUCUCCGGGCUUAACCCGGAAACUGCUUUUGAAACUGUUGCCCUUGAGUAUCGGAGAGGCAGGCGGAAUUCCUAGUGUAGCGGUGAAAUGCGUAGAUAUUAGGAGGAACACCAGUGGCGAAGGCGGCCUGCUGGACGACAACUGACGCUGAGGCGCGAAAGCGUGGGGAGCAAACAGGAUUAGAUCCCCUGGUAGUCCACGCCGUAAACGAUGGAUACUAGGUGUGGGGGGACUGACCCCUUCCGUGCCGCAGUUAACACAAUAAGUAUCCCACCUGGGGAGUACGAUCGCAAGAUUGAAACUCAAAGGAAUUGACGGGG